rnacentral:rRNA from 1 species
CACGCCGUAAACGUUGAGAACUAAGUGUUGGGGAGACCCAGUGCUGAAGCUAACGCAUUAAGUUCUCCGCCUGAGGAGUACGCACGCAAGUGUAAAACUUAAAGGAAUUGACGGGGGCCCGCACAAGCAGUGGAGCAUGUGGUUUAAUUCGUGGCUACGCGAAGAACCUUACCAGGGCUUGACAGGAAACUUAAGACCCUAGAGAUAGGGGAUAAUAAGUGAAACAGGUGG